rnacentral:tRNA from 6 species
GGAGGCGUAUCCUAACUGGCUAAGGAGCCGGUCUUGAAAAUCGGUGGGGUUGACGCCCCUUGUGGGUUCGAGUCCCACCGCCUCCGCCA